AAUGAGCACAAAACACCAUCCAGUGUGGGUCCUUGGGCAAGAUCCCUCACGCUAAUGCCUACCCUCAUACAAUGAUGAGAAACAGUAAAAAUGAAUGACAUGCCGGCUCAGACGUCGCCCGGACAAACAAGGUCUGCGUCAGGUGCUGGGGAACCAGAGCACCUUGAUGAAAAAUGUGCUACUGGAACAAAGCGGAGAUGGGCGAGAUGCGAUAACAUGGCUCUGUUGGAAUGCUACUACUCAAGCAACCCUAGUCAGAGGGGUUACAUGCAGAGAAUGUGGGCUAAAUGGUUACUUCGAAACCCACAGUCACGGAGGAGGUCAUACCAGAGAUUGGGAGGCCAGCCCCAAUGAAUGAAAUGCUGAGCGAGGCAGCAACUGACCUGAAAGCUAAAAAAAAGCUGGGCAACCUAGAAACCGAUUACAACGGCUAUGUGAAGUACCACCUGAAAGUCUCAUGGAAAGUGUGAAUGCAGCACUGAGGGCGAUCCCUACCGUAACAAUCACGGAAACCAAUGAGCUGAUAUACGCUUCAGCACCAGUGAUCCUCGAGAUGCUUGGCUAUAAGAGCAACCAUUGAAGCCAUGAGAUAUGUUACCCACCAUGGAAAAGACAGUUGGAGGCUAAGAUCAAGGCGGCUCGGAAAGAUGUGAGUCAAUUGACGGAGGGCCAGAGAGGAGUGAUGAAAAGGCCGAUACCCGAGAGGUACAUCCAGAUGUCCAUACCUGAAGCACUCGAAACUGCCAAACAAAGGCUCCAAAGCCUUGUCCAGCCGCCGAAA